rnacentral:rRNA from 1 species
GAUGAACGCUGGCGGCGUGCUUAACACAUGCAAGUCGAACGAGGCACUUUAUUUGAUUUCCUUCGGGACUGAUUAUUUUGUGACUGAGUGGCGGACGGGUGAGUAACGCGUGGGUAACCUGCCUUGUACAGGGGGAUAACAGUUGGAAACGGCUGCUAAUACCGCAUAAGCGCACAGCAUCGCAUGAUGCAGUGUGAAAAACUCCGGUGGUAUAAGAUGGACCCGCGUUGGAUUAGCUAGUUGGUGAGGUAACGGCCCACCAAGGCGACGAUCCAUAGCCGACCUGAGAGGGUGACCGGCCACAUUGGGACUGAGACACGGCCCAAACUCCUACGGGAGGCAGCAGUGGGGAAUAUUGCACAAUGGGCGAAAGCCUGAUGCAGCGACGCCGCGUGAGCGAAGAAGUAUUUCGGUAUGUAAAGCUCUAUCAGCAGGGAAGAUAAUGACGGUACCUGACUAAGAAGCACCGGCUAAAUACGUG